AAAAAUCCUAGUCUGGUAAGGGGUGACUAUGCGAUUGACUCAAUAAAUUGGUCCAAUAAUGGUAAUGACGACGGCUCUCCAAUGUCCAGUUCUGAUGUGGAAACUUUUAAUGGGAAAAUAGUUUACAAUCUUGAUGGCAGCGCACACAUCAUCGCCACAGAUAAUACCAAUGGAGGUGGAUCAGGGUCUGGCCAAAAUUGUUAUGGUUCAGCAUCGAAUUCACUAAAGAACCUGUCAAAGGCUAAAGAUCGAAGGCAGGAAGAGAUAGAUAUAGAACACCCGUCCCAGUAUCAUCUAGAGCAAAGCGAGAACGAGAGGCAGGAGGAAGCUGUGGAUACUCGUCCUGGUUUCGAAUCCUUAGGAGGCGCUUGCCACAAAUCAAGUCCAAAAAUCCAUUCCUUUCGUGUGGUGUCCGCACAAGAUGCUAACUCAACUUGUCAGGAUCAAAUCAGAGCAUUUAAAAUCCAGAAACCAAUUUUAAUGUGUUUUAUAUGCAAGUUGUCUUUCGGCAACGUUAAGUCCUUUAGCUUGCAUGCAAACACUGAACACCGACUCAAUUUGGAAGAGCUGGACCAGCAGCUACUUAAUCGCGAGUACUCCAGUGCCAUUAUACAAAGAAAUAUGGAUGAAAAGCCACAGAUAUCCUUUCUACAGCCCUUGGGUAAUAAUGACGCCUCUGCUGAUAGCAAUGAUACCGAGAAGCUUCAAACAGCAACUGAGGGCAGUGACGCCACUCUGCCUUCGUCUCCGCACCCAGUUAUCAGGAAUGACUCUGAACUUGAGCCCGAAAAUAAGCAAGAGACUGAGCAGAAUCGGCUCCUGAACCAGGACCGGGAGCAAGAGUCUGAAUCAGAUCAGCACACUAGUAGUAGUAAAAUGGCGGCACCUAGUGCAUAUAUCCCAUUAUCAUCGCCCAAAGUAGCGGGAAAAUUAACUGUGAAAUUUGGUUCCUUAAACUCAGCAACAGCAAAGACUAAUAACCUAUCAAAAGUUUCCUCAACCAGUUCACCACCAUCGACAUACGCAUCCGGGGAAGUCUUAUCACCCAGUACUGAUAAUAUAAGUAACCAUAAGUCAACACAUUGCAACCAAGAAACAGAGCCACCCUCGUCGUCUUCGUCAGAGGUGGAAAUGAAGAUUGGCUCUAUGUCCACAUCACCUCAAACAAAUGAUUCGGAUGUUCCAUGCUCAGGUUUUUUGCAAAUGCAGCACAUGACAACAGGUGGUGCAUAUACUCCUCAAGUCAGUUCCUUCCAUGCAUCUUUAGCUGCGCUGGCCGCCAACGAAUCAAAUGACAACCGGGUUAAGCUGAUCACAGAGUUCCUUCAACAGCAGCUGCAGCAACAUCAGAGUUCCUUAUUUCCAAGCCCAUGUCCCGAUCACCCCGACCUCAAUGGUGUGGACUGCAAAACCUGCGAACUCCUUGACAUCCAGCAGCGGUCAAAGUCACCGUCUUCUUCACAUCACCAGUUUUCUCAAUCUCUUCCCCAGCUGCAAAUUCAGUCGCAGCCCCAGCAAACCCCACAUCGCUCACCUUGCAGCAACAGUGUUACCCUGGCCGUAUCACCAAGCGCCUCCUCGGUGGCCAGCGCUGGAAAUGCGUCGACCGCCACAUCCAGCUUUACAAUCGGCGCCUGUUCCGAGCACAUCAAUGGUCGUCCCCAAGGAGUAGACUGUGCGCGCUGUGAAAUGCUUCUAAACUCGGCUCGAUUAAAUAGCGGCGUGCAAAUGUCCACUCGCAAUUCCUGCAAGACUCUUAAAUGCCCCCAAUGCAAUUGGCACUAUAAAUAUCAGGAAACUUUGGAGAUCCACAUGAGGGAGAAACAUCCAGAUGGGGAGAGUGCCUGUGGUUAUUGCCUUGCAGGACAACAGCAUCCUCGGCUGGCACGGGGGGAAUCCUACUCUUGCGGUUAUAAACCGUAUCGCUGUGAAAUCUGUAACUACUCCACGACCACCAAGGGUAAUCUUUCCAUUCAUAUGCAAUCGGACAAACAUCUGAACAAUAUGCAGGAGCUAAACAGCUCUCAAAAUAUGGUUGCAGCUGCGGCUGCUGCAGCGGUGACUGGCAAACUGCUGCUGUCCAGCUCCUCGCCCCAAGUAACCGCUGCAGGUUCAUCCAACAGCGGGUCUGGCGCAGGCAGUGGCUCAUCCAACAUUGUCGGCGGCACCACAUCCCUGAGCGGAAGCGCAACGCCUUCCGCAACUGGAGCAAAUAGUUCCAAUGCCAAUGCCGGAAGCAAUACAAACAACGCCGGUACCAAGCCAAAGCCUUCAUUUCGAUGCGACAUCUGCAGCUAUGAUACUUCCGUGGCCCGCAACCUGCGCAUACACAUGACCAGCGAGAAGCACACCCACAACAUGGCAGUGCUUCAGAAUAAUAUCAAGCACAUCCAGGCAUUUAAUUUCUUACAGCAACAGCAACAGAGCGGCACUGGGAAUAUUGCUGGCCACAGCUCCGGAAGCUUUAUGCCCGAGGUGGCUCUGGCUGAUCUCGCGUACAACCAGGCCCUUAUGAUCCAGCUUCUUCACCAACAGCAACAACAUCAGCAGUCAGCUAAUACCAAACUAUCGCCGUCGUCUUCGCCCGUGAGCACUCCUGAUCAGUUUUCCUUUUCUCCCAAGCCAAUAAAGCUCAAUCAUGGAACAGGAGCUGCCAUGGGGAUAGGAAUGGCAAUGGGAAUGGGAAUGAGCCACUCAAACGAAGUGUCCGGCGAAUUAUCAGGGGAUCCUCACCCGCUAACAAAAACGGAAAAAUGGCCCACGGCUUUCUACAGCUGCCUAAUCUGCGAUUGCUUCAGUACGAACAACCUGGACGAUCUGAACCAGCAUUUGCUGCUAGAUCGAUCCCGACAAUCCUCCAGCGCAUCCUCCGAAAUAAUGGUUAUUCACAAUAACAACUAUAUAUGCCGGCUGUGCAACUACAAGACGAAUCUCAAGGCAAAUUUCCAACUACACAGCAAGACGGACAAGCACUUGCAGAAGCUCAACUUUAUCAACCACAUCAGAGAGGGCGGUCCCCGGAACGAGUAUAAAAUGCAGUAUCAGCAGCAGCUUGCCGCAAAUGUAGUGCAACUUAAGUGCAACUGCUGCGACUUCCACACAAAUUCUAUCCAGAAGCUGGGUCUGCACACACAACAGAUGCGUCACGACACAAUGCGAAUGAUAUUUCAGCAUUUACUGUACAUUGUUCAGCAAAGUGAAAUGCACAAUAAGUCGUCGGGUUCUGCUGAAGAUGAUCCUCAAUGCGCCUGCCCGGAUGAAGAUCAGCAAGUGCAGUUGCAGUCGUCCAAAAAACUGCUCCUUUGUCAGCUGUGCAACUUCACCGCUCAGAACAUCCAUGAAAUGGUACAGCAUGUGAAAGGAAUAAGACACUUGCAAGUCGAGCAAUUUAUCUGUUUGCAGCGUCGCAGUGAGAACCAAGAAAUACCCGCACUGAACGAAGUAUUCAAAGUGACGGAAUGGGUCAUGGAAAACGAAGAUGUUUCUUUCGCAUCUGGCCUAAAUUUGGCUAGAACCGCAACCAAUGAUGCAACGGAUGCCAGCUAUGCUGCGGCAUCAUCUGCGGCAGCUCCUGCCAUUCCGGAUGUCAGUAUGUUUUCACCAACAUCUCCCUCAAGUUGCGCAACAUCUUGCGAUAAGAAUUUGAGUCAAAUUGUAUCGCCAAACGUAAAUAAACUUGGUUCAGGCGUCCCUACAACAGUAUUCAAGUGUAAUCUCUGCGAAUACUUCGUCCAAUCUAAAAGCGAAAUUGCGUCUCAUAUUGAGACUGAGCACUCAUGUGCUGAGAGUGAUGAGUUUAUAACUAUACCAACCAACACGGCUGCCCUGCAGGCUUUCCAAACAGCUGUGGCUGCAGCUGCUCUAGCUGCCGUGCAUCAAAGAUGCGCUGUUAUAAAUCCACCGAUACAGGAGACCGUCGACGAAGACAAGGACUUAGAUACGAAUGUCAGUGACGCUCCUCUGGGCAUAAAACAAGAGCGCGUCGAACAGGAAGUUGAUCGUACGACAUCAAUGGAGGAUAUUAAAGACUUGGCCUCCCAAGCGACAGAAUCUGGAGCUCCAGAGUCGCCAAAAGUUGCAGAAACUGAAGUUGGGGUACAGUGUCCGCUUUGCCUCGAGAACCAUUUCCGGGAAAAACAGUACUUGGAGGACCAUUUAACAAGCGUUCAUAGCGUUACAAGAGAUGGCCUCUCCCGGCUCUUACUUCUGGUGGAUCAGAAAGCUUUGAAAAAAGAGAGCACAGAUAUAGCAUGCCCUACAGACAAAGCUCCAUACGCAAAUACGAAUGCGCCCGAGAGAGCACCAUCCCCUAUUGAAAACACCUGCAACGUUAGCCUUAUCAAAUCAACCUCAGCUAACCCAAGCCAGUCAGUGAGCUUGCAAGGACUAUCUUGCCAGCAAUGUGAGGCAAGCUUCAAGCACGAGGAACAGCUACUUAAGCAUGCCCAACAGAAUCAGCACUUUCCUUUGCAAAACGGGGAGUAUUUGUGUCUUGCAGCCAGCCACGUUAGCCGUCCUUGCUUCAUGAGUUUCAGAACCAUUCCAGCUAUGAUCAGCCACUUUCAAGACAUGCACAUCAGCCUGAUUAUCUCGGAGCGCCAUGUCUACAAGUAUCGUUGCAAACAGUGCUCCUUAGCAUUUAAAACACAGGAAAAACUUACCACGCAUAUGCUCUACCAUUCGAUGCGGGAUGCUACAAAGUGCUCCUUUUGCCAACGUAACUUUCGCAGUACACAGGCGCUUCAGAAACACAUGGAACAAGCACACGCUGAGGAUGGAACCCCAUCAACAAGGACAAACAGUCCGCAGACGCCGAUGUUAAGUACUGAGGAGACUAACAAGCAUCUUUUAGCGGAGUCCCAUGCAGGAGAAAGAGAAGUUUCAGGGAGUGAUGUCUCGCCAAUUGAACUGGAGGCGCACCUAAACAAAGAAACUAGACAUUUGUCACCUACUCCAAUGUCUCUCGAUUCCCAAUCACAUCAACAAUACCUCGCGACUUUCGCUGCUUUGCUCAAACAACAGCAGUGUAACUCAGAUGCUGUAGGCCUUCAUCCCGAAACGCUGUCUAUGUCCACUGGAGAGAUGCCCCCUCAAUUGCAGGGUCUACAAAAUCUUCAGCAUAUACAACAGCAUUUCGGAGCAGUUGCUGCCGCAUCGGGUCUUCCAAUUAACCCGGUCGAUAUGCUUAAUAUAAUGCAAUUUCACCACUUGAUGUCCCUCAACUUCAUGAACUUAGCACCGCCCCUAGUAUUCGGCGCCAAUGCUGCAGGCAAUGCAGUAUCUGGGUCAUCAGCGCAAAAUAACAGCAUUACAACCGCCACCGCAACAUCUGCUUCAGGACUGGGUGAUACACAUCUUACCACUGGUGUCAGCUCUUUACCGGUAGAUUCGGGGAAAGCUACCGCAGUUCCACCUCAAACUCAGCUCAAUGCGAACGCAAACUCUCAGCAGCUGGCCAGCAACCAAAAACGAGCUCGAACGCGUAUUACAGAUGAUCAGCUUAAAAUAUUGCGGGCCCAUUUCGAUAUAAAUAAUUCGCCAAGCGAAGAGAGCAUUAUGGAGAUGUCUCAGAAAGCAAAUCUACCAAUGAAGGUGGUUAAACAUUGGUUCCGGAACACGCUAUUUAAGGAAAGACAACGUAAUAAGGACUCUCCUUAUAAUUUUAAUAAUCCACCAUCGACUACUCUGAAUUUAGAAGAGUAUGAACGUACAGGACAAGCCAAAGUUACCCCUUUAAAUGAUACUUGUAGCGUCGCAGUAACAGGACCAAUGACUUCAUCAACUAUUUCAUUACCACCAUCUGGUAGUACCAAUUUAAGCUCUAAAGAAAACGCAACUUCAAAAGUACUAGCGGCGGGAAAAGCUAACGCAUCAGGGCCUGUUACAUUUACUGCAACUGUUCCAGUUUCAACACCGUUAUCUCGUCCAGAAUCGACGAACUCAAGCGGCAAUAUAUCCGACUAUAUAGGCAAUAAUAUAUUUUUCGGACAGCUCGGGAGCAAGGACCAGAUCUUGCCGUACUCUUUAGACGGGCAAAUAAAGUCAGAGCCGCAGGAUGAUGUGAUUGGGGCAACUGAUUUUGCAUACCAAACAAAGCAGCAUUCAAAUUUUAGCUUUUUAAAACAGCAACAGGAUCUAGUGGAUCCCCCAGAACAGUGCUUGACAAAUCAAAACGCGGAUACGGUACAGGACCAAUCCUUGCUAGCGGGUGCGGCUCUUGCAUCCAAUUGUCAGAGUCAACAGCAAAUAAAUAUAUUUGAAACUAAAUCAGAAAGUGGGAGUUCCGAUGUACUGUCACGCCCUCCGUCUCCGAAUAGUGGAGCUGCCGGAAAUAUGUAUGGAAGCAUGAAUGAUUUAAUAAACCAGCAAUUGGAGAAUAUGGGUAGUAACAUGGGACCACCAAAAAAAAUGCAGAUUGUUGGAAAAACGUUUGAAAAGAACGUAGCUCCAAUGGUGACCUCAGGCAGUGUUAGUACUCAGUUCGAAAGCAACUCUUCAAACUCUUCGAGCUCCUCAUCGUCGACAUCAGGUGGCAAGCGAGCUAAUCGGACUCGUUUUACAGACUACCAAAUAAAGGUUUUGCAGGAGUUCUUCGAGAACAACUCAUAUCCAAAGGACAGCGAUCUCGAGUAUUUAAGCAAGCUUUUGUUACUGUCUCCCCGGGUUAUAGUAGUUUGGUUUCAAAACGCCAGACAAAAGCAACGUAAGAUUUAUGAAAACCAGCCGAACAAUACCCUGUUUGAAAAUGAGGAGACGAAAAAGCAAAACAUUAACUAUGCGUGCAAAAAGUGUAACUUGGUAUUUCAAAGGUACUACGAGCUAAUACGGCAUCAGAAAAAUCACUGCUUCAAAGAGGAGAAUAAUAAAAAGUCUGCCAAGGCACAAAUCGCUGCAGCUCAAAUCGCGCAGAAUUUGAGCUCGGAGGAUUCUAAUUCUUCCAUGGAUAUACACCAUGUCGGAAUUUGUCCACCAGGCUCAGCAGUUGUUUCGCAAACCCUGUCAACGCCGGGCUCGGCAGCUCCCCUUUCGGGACAGUACACCCAGCAUUCAUUUGGCGCACUGCCCUCGCCACAGCAUUUGUUUGCAAAGUCUUCUUCGCUUACUGACUUCAGUCCAUCCACGACCCCCACGCCGCCGCAACGAGAACGCAGCAACAGUUUAGAUCACCCUCAACGACCUCCCAAGUUUGAUUGCGACAAAUGCGAGCUGAAAUUUAACCAAUCGGAAAAAUUGCGAGAGCAUCAACUAUUACACCUGAUGAAUCCAGGAAAUAUUUUUUCAGACGCAAGUCAGAACUCUAACCCUGAAGCCAAUUUCGGUCCCUUUGGCAGCAUUUUGCAAAGUCUACAACAAGCGGCGGCUCAACAGCAGCAGCUACAGCAUCAACCGCCGCCAACAAAAAAACGGAAAUACUCGGACUGCUCUUCCAAUGCUGAUGAAAUGCAGUCCCUGUCGGAGCUUGAGGCUUCACAAAAAAAGCACGAGUUCCUGUACAAGUAUUUUAUGCAGAAUGAAACGAGCCAAGAGGUAAAACAGCAGUUCCUCAUGCAACAACAACAAAAGAAAUUAGAACAAGGAAACGACUGCGAUUUUGAACUUGAUUUCCUAACUAACUUCUAUCAGCAGAGCGAAUUAAAAAAAGUCAGUAACUAUGACUUUUUACUACAGUACUAUCGCACACAUGAAGAGGCAAAAUCCAGCCAACAGCAUCUAUUUAGCUCCAGUAAAAAGCCUACCAUCGAGUUUCUACUUCAGUACUACCAACUUAAUGAGUCGAAAAAGUUUUUUCAGUUAGUUGCCUCGCCCCAAAUAAUUCCUGAUGUCCCAGGCUACAAGCCAUCCUCGCGAAUGCCAAAAUCCACUUCGGAUGAAGCCCCUUAUAUUGGAGAAACAUCAUUGGAGCAGGCAACAGAACUACAAAGAGAGAAACAAGAUGAACAACUACGCAUAGACAGGCCAAGCGAAGAAAACGAGUUAUCUAUGAACAAAAACAAAGUGGAAAAUAUUAAUAACAACAAUAUUGGCAUUCAUGUGGGCCAAAGCAAUUUAACCGCGACGAACGGCAUCCCUUCAGUUGAAACAAAAGACGAGAGUACGCAGGAAUCAUCAUUAAUUGCGAUAGAUAAUGAAAACAAGUAUCUAUGCGCGAGAUCCAAACAAAAAGAUGACAAGGAAAAGUCGCACUACUUACAUAAUCUUGAGGACUUCCUGGAUGCCACAAUGAUAGAGAACAACUCCCAGACUUUAACAUUUAAUGAUGACGAGAAAGCAUGCCAAAAAGAUGAACUUACUCAAAAUUCCAAUGCAAUUGAGAAGCGGUCCUCUGUGUCUCCGGUUAACGUUUCAUCCAAGCAAAAUAAGCGCUUACGAACAACCAUCCUUCCGGAGCAAUUGAACUUUUUGUAUGAAUGUUAUCAAUCCGAAUCAAAUCCAAGCAGAAAAAUGCUUGAAGAGAUAUCUAAGAAAGUUAACUUAAAGAAACGCGUAGUUCAAGUCUGGUUUCAAAAUUCACGGGCAAAAGACAAAAAAUCGCGGAAUCAGCGACAUUAUGCACACAUAUCUGACGAUAAUAGCUACGAUGGCUCUAGCGGGAAGGAGGCUUAUAGCGACCUAAGGUCCAACGGCAUAACCGUGGAUACGGACCUCGAAACAAAUCUACAGGACUGUCAGCUGUGUCAAGUCACCCAAGUCAACAUCCGAAAGCAUGCUUUUAGUGUCGAGCACAUUAGCAAAAUGAAGAAAUUGCUCGAACAAACCACCGAGCUCUAUGCACAGAGCAAUGGCAGUGGAAGCGAGGACAACGAUUCUGACAGGGAAAAACGAUUUUAUAACUUAUCAAAGGCAUUUUUGUUCCAACACGUUGUGACAAACGCGACAAGCCACUCUAUUCACACAGCUAGACAAGAUUCUGAUGCUAUUGCCGAAGGGAACUGUAUGCUUAACUAUGACACUAAUGGUGGCGAUUCCAAGAGUCAUGUCCAGCAUAAUUUACCUAACGAAGUCGUUUCUGAAGAUACGCGAAAAAUCGCUGGUAAUCAGGAACUUAUGCAGCAGCUUUUUAACCGAAACCAUAUCACCGUUAUAGGUGGAAAGUAAAUCUGAGUGUUUAUAUGGCCUUAUAACCGUGGAUAGUGGUUAAAAUGUAGACUACAGAAGGAAAAGUAUUUGCACACGCGAAAUAUGCGUACACUACGAAAA
rnacentral:misc_RNA from 1 species